rnacentral:rRNA from 1 species
AACGAACGCUGGCGGCAUGCCUAACACAUGCAAGUCGAACGAGACCUUCGGGUCUAGUGGCGCACGGGUGCGUAACGCGUGGGAACCUGCCCUUAGGUUCGGAAUAACUCCCCGAAAGGGGUGCUAAUACCGGAUAAUGUCUUCGGACCAAAGAUUUAUCGCCCUUGGAUGGGCCCGCGUUGGUUUAGCUAGUCGGUAGGGUAAAAGCCUACCAAGGCGUCGAUCCCUAGCUGGUCUGAGAGAAUGAUCAGCCACACUGGGGCUGAGACGCGGUCCAGACUCCUACGGGAGGCAGCAGUGGGUAAUCUUGGACAAUGGGCGAAAGCCUGAUCCAGCUAUGCCGCGUGAGUGAUGAAGGCCUUAGGGUUGUACAGCUCUUUUACCCGGGAUGAUAAUGACAGUACCGGGAGAAUAAGCUCCGGCUAACUCCGUG